rnacentral:rRNA from 1 species
GAUGAACGCUGGCGGCGUGCCUAAUACAUGCAAGUCGAGCGAACCGAUUAAGAGCUUGCUCUUAAGAAGUUAGCGGCGGACGGGUGAGUAACACGUGGGUAACCUGCCUAUAAGACUGGGAUAACUCCGGGAAACCGGGGCUAAUACCGGAUAACAUUUUGAACCGCAUGGUUCGAAAUUGAAAGGCGGCUUCGGCUGUCACUUAUAGAUGGACCCGCGGCGCAUUAGCUAGUUGGUGAGGUAACGGCUCACCAAGGCAACGAUGCGUAGCCGACCUGAGAGGGUGAUCGGCCACACUGGGACUGAGACACGGCCCAGACUCCUACGGGAGGCAGCAGUAGGGAAUCUUCCGCAAUGGACGAAAGUCUGACGGAGCAACGCCGCGUGAGCGAGGAAGGCCUUCGGGUCGUAAAGCUCUGUUGUUAGGGAAGAACAAGUACAAGUUGAAUAAGCUUGUACCUUGACGGUACCUAACCAGAAAGCCACGGCUAACUACGUGCCAGCAGCCGCUGUAAAAC